UUGACCUCAAAUCAGGUAGGACUACCCGCUGAACUUAAGCAUAUCAAUAAGCGGAGGAAAAGAAACUAACAAGGAUUCCCCUAGUAACUGCGAGUGAAGCGGGAAAAGCUCAAAUUUAAAAUCUGGCGGUUUCUGGACUGUCUGAGUUGUAAUCUAGAGAAGUGUUUACCUGUGCUGGACCAUGUACAAGUCUCCUGGAAUGGAGCAUCAUAGAGGGUGAGAAUCCCGUCUUUGACAUGGACUACCUGUGCAUUAUGGGUGCGCUCUCGAAGAGUCGAGUUGUUUGGGAAUGCAGCUCAAAAUGGGUGGUAAAUGCCAUCUAAAGCUAAAUAUUGGCGAGAGACCGAUAGCGAACAAGUACCGUGAGGGAAAGAUGAAAAGAACUUUGGAAAGAGAGUUAAACAGUACGUGAAAUUGCUGAAAGGGAAACGCUUGAAGUCAGUCACGUUGGCUGGAAAUCAGCCUUGCUUUUGCUUGGUGUAUUUUCUGGUCCGACGGGUCAGCAUCAAUUUUGACCAUUGGAUAAAGUCUUUUGGGAAUGUGGCAUCUUUUAGAUGUGUUAUAGCCCAUGGUUGCAUACAGUGGUUGGGAUUGAGGAACUCAGCACGCCGCAAGGCCGGGUUUCGACCACGUUUCCGUGCUUAGGAUGCUGGCAUAAUGGCUUUAAUCGA
rnacentral:rRNA from 1 species